rnacentral:tRNA from 1 species
GCCUUCGUGGUGUAGUGGUCAGCACGCUCGACGCGUAUUCGAGAGGUCCGUGGUUCGAGUCUCGGCGAGGGCA